GCCCGGUUGGCCCAAUUGGAUAAGGCAUCCGUCUUCUAAACGGAAGAUUAGGGGUUCGACCCCCCUACUGGGUA
rfam:Mucor circinelloides f. lusitanicus CBS 277.49 MTCCIscaffold_04, whole genome shotgun sequence.